UUGCAGUAAAUUACUACGAAUUCUAUUAUUUUUUUUAACUAUUAGAAAAGCACUUUGAGUCCAAAAAAUUAUCAUUUCGGUUCCAGCCUCACAAUGGCUAGGGGUUGGAAGAUAGGCUUCCAUAUACAAAACCAUGUACAUCUAUAACGUAUGAAUAGGCCUUCUAGGUAGAAUGAUACAAAAACAUGAUCAAUGAUGAAGACUAUCUUCC
rnacentral:lncRNA from 1 species